GUUAUCUUAGCCGGCCCCCUUAACCCCUUAACUUAAGUCUAAAGGUUGACCUCGCCCUCCUCCUAGACUCCUAGAUGAGAAGAGACGGAAGGCUUCUUCUGAGUCUCAUUGCUCGCCGGACGUACAGACGCACACAUAUAGAGGCACACACGCACACACACAUACAGACACACACCUGAGCUGGCCUCCACUGUAACUUUAAAUUUCCGACAAAGUCUUGUGAUGGUCGAUGCGGGACAGAAAGGAAUUCUCUCAGCUGGAGCGAUAUGAUUGGCCAAGGCAGCAGGUGGACACUGAUGGAGGCGGAGAGAUUCUGACCCGUCGCUAUCAGUAACAAGGAUUCAUCCUGUUGUCACCAUAGAAAGCAACAGGAAGUCACUGUUACUGGCCGUGAGGGUCAAGUGGUCACACAUGCGCCACAACGCAUGCUAACGCACACACAAACGCACCCAUGAACACACAUUCACACACACAGCCAAACUUACAGCAAAACACACAAACAUACGAAAAACACACACUGAAACACACAAAAGACACACUGAAACACACACACACACACCGAAACACAACAAAACACAGACACACACCAAAACACACACUCACACACUGAAACACAAAAAAAAAAACAGAAACACAAAAACACACACACACACACAAAACACACACACCAAAACACACACACACACACACACACACACACACACACACACACACACACACACACACACACACACACACACACGCACAGCUUUCAUGCUAAUUUUACAUCCUGUUUUCGUUCAGUAAAAUUAAUGCAAAUGACGACUAAUAAAACUGAACUAAAGUUAAUAAAACUGAAAUAAAGUUGUGAUGCUUAAUGUGAAUUGUAACAAAAUCUUAAUUAAUAGCCAUGAUAUAAUUUUAUAAUAGAUUAUAAUAGAUUAUCUCAAACAAUUGCAAAUAUGAACGCACAUGCAAUACUUCACGGUUAGCGGGUGGCAGGCAGGCAGGUAGGACCCAAUAGCAGACAGUUCAAUAAAAGGAUAAUUUAUUAACGCAAAAGGCAAGGAACACGGGUGACGCAGGUGACGCAGGUAACACCAGGAACACACAGGAACACACAGGAACACAACUCAUCACAAACUAAAAUGAUCCGACAAGGAACAAAGGAAAGGGCUUAAAUACCAAACACACACAGGGCACGCAACGAGUAACAGCUGAAACACAUUAGGGGAGGGAGCAAUAAUCACAUAGGAGGGAAACCUGACCGGACAUGGGGAGAAACAAGACAGAGAUACCAAAGUAAAACAGGAAACACACCAAAACAAGACAAGGAAACAGACAGACCAUGACAAUACUUCGGCAAAGGUGUGACAAUACUUCGGCAAAAACACAUUGUGUGUAAUAUUUAGGGGACAUAAAUAUGCUAAAUAUAUGAUAUAAAGAGUCUAAAUAUUACUAUAUUAUUAUAAAACAAGGAAAUAGUAUUAUAAGAUAGAGGGGUCAUAUACGGUUCAAUUAUCUACAAGGCCUUAUGUGGAAAGCUACAUGUAGCAUGCCUUCACUGCAUAUCAAACUCACUCUCACCCACAAAUUCGACUUAUCAUCCACUCACCAAUAGCAACUUGAAAAUAGCUUUUCAAGGUGACAAAUAACACUACCAGAGCCCUGUACCACGAAGCUCGCUUAGAGGGUUAGUGAGGAAUGUUGAGCUCCAAGCCUGGGUUAGUUGUACCACGAAAGUCGAUCUCUUUUAGCGUCGCUGUAUCACCAUGG
ensembl:lncRNA